rnacentral:tRNA from 1 species
GCGGGAUAGCUCAGCUGGUCAGAGCGCACGGCUCAUAAUCGUGAGGUCGCGGGUUCGAGCCCCGCUCCCG